UAGGGAGUCGGACCUGCCCGGUGAAAUUUUUAACGGCCGCGGUACUCUGACCGUGCAAAGGUAGCAUAAUCAUUCGCCUUAUAAUUGAAGGCUAGUAUGAAUGGUUUGACAAGAAUAUAACUGUCUCUUUAUAAUUUUAUAGAACUUUAUUUUAAGGUGAAGAAGCCUUAAUUAAAUUAAAAGACAAGAAGACCCUAUCGAGCUUUAGAGAAAUUUAUAGAGAUUAAUUAAUAGUGGUUUAAAAAAUUGGCUAUUGAAUACUUUGGUUGGGGCGACUGAGGAACAAAUAAAGCUUCCUUUAAUAAUAAUACACAUACAAGUAUUGAUCCAAAAUUUUUGAUUAAAGAAAUUAGUUACCGUAGGGAUAACAGCAUUAUCUUUUUUGAGAGUUCUUAUCGAAAAAAAGGUUUGUGACCUCGAUGUUGGACCAGAAUAUCCUAAAGAUGCAGAAGUCUUUAAGGGUUGGUCUGUUCGACCAUU
rnacentral:rRNA from 1 species